GGCUGUGUGGCUCAGUGGUAGAGCACAUGCUUUGCAUGUAUGAGGCACCACGUCCG
rnacentral:tRNA from 1 species